UACGUAGGUGGCAAGCGUUGUCCGGAAUUAUUGGGCGUAAAGCGCGCGUAGGCGGGAUGGCAAGUCGGGUGUGAAAGCCCUCAGCUCAACUGAGGAAGUGCGCCCGAAACUACUGUUCUUGAGUGUCGGAGAGGGUGGCGGAAUUCCCGGUGUAGAGGUGAAAUGCGCAGAUAUCAGGAGGAACACCGGUGGCGAAGGCGGUUCUCUGGGCCUUACCUGACGCUGAGGAGCGAAAGCGUGGGGAGCAAACAGG
rnacentral:rRNA from 1 species